UGGGGAAUAUUGGACAAUGGGGGGAACCCUGAUCCAGCCAUGCCGCGUGUGUGAAGAAGGCCUUAUGGUUGUAAAGCACUUUAAGCGAGGAGGAGGGUACUGGUAUUAAUACUACCAGGUACUGGACGUUACUCGCAGAAUAAGCACCGGCUAACUCUGUGCCAGCAGCCGCGGUAAUACAGAGGGUGCGAGCGUUAAUCGGAUUUACUGGGCGGAAAGCGUGCGUAGGCGGCUAAUUGAGUCGGAUGUGAAAUCCCCGAGCUUAACUUGGGAAUUGCAUUCGAUACUGGUUAGCUAGAGUGUGGGAGAGGAUGGUAGAAUUCCAGGUGUAGCGGUGAAAUGCGUAGAGAUCUGGAGGAAUACCGAUGGCGAAGGCAGCCAUCUGGCCUAACACUGACGCUGAGGUACGAAAGCGUGGGGAGCAAACAGG
rnacentral:rRNA from 1 species